rnacentral:lncRNA from 1 species
AGAACUUCAAAGGAUCACCGUGUGCUCUUUUUUAAAGGUAGAAGAUAUCUUUAAUGAAGGGGAAAAAGAUAAUAUUGAUUAAUUUUUGUUUCAUGUGAUGCAAUAAAAAUUUUACUGUACGCAUUUUAAUUGCAAACAGAGAAUAAUAAUGGAGACAAACAAAUAUAUAGUCGAAAUUCAAAAUUGUUUGCUUGAUUUUUAUGGUAGAAGCUUGUCUUCUUUCCUUUUUUUUAUUCAUUUACAUGUAGAUGUUGGCAGUCACUUAGAAAUUUUCUAAAUUGACAUUUAUUAAUGCCAUUUAAUUAGUAAUAUAAUUUUUUUAAAAGAAUUAGUAAUAUAAUUAUAAAAUGAUUUUUUUUAUUUUUUUAUUGUAGCACUAAAUAAAGAUAUAAUACAAAAAUAAUUAAUGAGAUACAUGAUAGAUUGAAUCCUAUUAUUGUCUGUGGACAAAAAUCACUUAUCCCCUUCCAUUAGUCUAACUAUUCUGUCAUUUAAAUGAUUCUAAAAUCACUUUUUUUUAUCAUUAGUUAUUAUCAAAAGUGGACAAUCCAACAUCGUUGGGUGAGUUUAGAGUAAUCUCAAUAGUGGGGGUUAAUUUAAAUUCAAUAUGUGAAUGAUACGUUGUUCUUUGGAGAGACUACCUUAAUAAUGUGGUUACAAUGCUAAGGUGUUUUGAACUCAUUUCAAUCUUAAAAGAGAACUUCCACAAAAGCUUUUUUGGUGCAUUGGGAGUGGAGGGAAGGGUGUUGGAGAGUUAUGCUAUAAUGAUUAAUUGUCAAAUCAUAAAAUUGUCUUUUGUUUACUGAUAACUGCUAAAUAAUUGUAUUUUGAUAGUAGAAAAUUAGUCAAAUAUUGGCCUGAAAUUAAUUAUUUAGCAGUUAUUUGUGAUUAAAAGUUAGAAAAUUAAUUAAAUUGAAUUUUUGGGUGCAGAUAUAAAAAUUGGAGGUGUAACAAGCAAAAAGGGUAAAAAAAUUGAAGAAAAGAAGAAAAUUUGAAGAAGGCCCAACCCAAUAUGUGCGCUCAGCGCGUGUCACGGGCUAAGCGGACCAGGAAGUACACGCGCUAAGCGCGGGGUGUCGUGCUAAGCGCGCCUACGAAGGCCCAAAGCUCACUUCAGCAACUAUAAAUAGAGGGUCAGUCCAAGGGACAGAACACACAACCACAGAACCCCCUUCUCCUAGGGGUUUCAUUUACUCCCUUUCUUUCUUUAACCCCUCCUCUCAUUGUAAAGCCCUCAUGACCAUGGGUGGCUAAUCCCCUAGCUAGGGCCUGGCAGGCCUAAAAAGCCAAUGAUGUAUAGAGCA